rnacentral:rRNA from 1 species
GAUGAACGCUGGCGGCGUGCCUAAUACAUGCAAGUCGAGCGAACGGACGAGAAGCUUGCUUUUCUGAUGUUAGCGGCGGACGUGUGAGUAACACGUGGAUAACCUACCUAUAAGACUGGGAUAACUUCGGGAAACCGGAGCUAAUACCGGAUAAUAUUUUGAACCGCAUGGUUCAAAAGUUAAAGACGGUCUUGCUGUCACUUAUAGAUGGAUCCGCGCUGCAUUAGCUAGUUGGUAAGGUAACGGCUUACCAAGGCAACGAUGCAUAGCCGACCUGAGAGGGUGAUCGGCCACACUGGAACUGAGACACGGUCCAGACUCCUACGGGAGGCAGCAGUAGGGAAGCUUCCGAAAUGGGCGAAAGCCUGACGGAGCAACGCAGCGUGAGUGAUGAAGGUCUUCGGAUCGUAAAACUCUGUUAUGAGGGAAGAACAUAUGUGUAAGUAACUGUGCACAUCUUGACGGUACCUAAUCAGAAAGCAACGGCUAACUACGUG